rnacentral:rRNA from 1 species
UGGGGAAUUUUGGACAAUGGGCGAAAGCCUGAUCCAGCAAUGCCGCGUGUGUGAAGAAGGCCUUCGGGUUGUAAAGCACUUUUGUCCGGAAAGAAAUCCUUGGCUCUAAUACAGUCGGGGGAUGACGGUACCGGAAGAAUAAGCACCGGCUAACUACGUGCCAGCAGCCGCGGUAAUACGUAGGGUGCAAGCGUUAAUCGGAAUUACUGGGCGUAAAGCGUGCGCAGGCGGUUUGCUAAGACCGAUGUGAAAUCCCCGGGCUCAACCUGGGAACUGCAUUGGUGACUGGCAGGCUAGAGUAUGGCAGAGGGGGGUAGAAUUCCACGUGUAGCAGUGAAAUGCGUAGAGAUGUGGAGGAAUACCGAUGGCGAAGGCAGCCCCCUGGGCCAAUACUGACGCUCAUGCACGAAAGCGUGGGGAGCAAACAGGAUUAGAUACCCUGGUAGUCCACGCCCUAAAACGAUGUCAACUAGUUGUUGGGGAUUCAUUUCCUUAGUAACGUAGCUAACGCGUGAAGUUGACCGCCUGGGGAGUACGGUCGCAAGAUUAAAACUCAAAUGAAUUGAC